UGGCGAAUAGCUCAGUAACACGUGGCCAAACUACCCUUCGGAACACAAUACCCUCGGGAAACUGAGGCUAAUAGUGUAUACCAUAUCACCACUGGAAUGAGUGGUAUGCCAAACGCUCCGGCGCCGAAGGAUGUGGCUGCGGCCGAUUAGGUAGACGGUGGGGUAACGGCCCACCGUGCCAAUAAUCGGUAUGGGUCAUGAGAGUGAGAACCCAGAGACGGAAUCUGAGACAAGAUUCCGGGCCCUACGGGGCGCAGCAGGCGCGAAACCUUUACACUGCACGACAGUGCGAUAGGGGGAUCCCAAGUGCACAGGCAUAGCGCCUGUGCUUUUCGGUACCGUAAGGUGGUACCAGAAUAAGGGCUGGGCAAGACCGGUGCCAGCCGCCGCGGUAAUACCGGCAGCCCAAGUGAUGGCCGAUCUUAUUGGGCCUAAAGCGUCCGUAGCUGGCCGCGCAAGUCCAUCGGGAAAUCCACCUGCUCAACAGGUGGGCGCCCGGUAGAAACUGCGUGGCUUGGGACCGGAAGGCGCGACGGGUACGUCCGGGGUAGGAGUGAAAUCCCGUAAUCCUGGACGGACCGCCGAUGGCGAAAGCACGUCGCGAGGACGGAUCCGACAGUGAGGGACGAAAGCCAGGGUCUCGAACCGGAUUAGAUACCCGGGUAGUCCUGGCCGUAAACAAUGUCUGCUAGGUGUGGCUCCCACUACGAAGUGGGUGCUGUUGCCUUAG
rnacentral:rRNA from 1 species